GCUCGGUGUCACGUCUGGUGGCCAAGCACGAAGUCAAAGCUACACAUGCUGCUAAUGGUUGGAGCUAUAUGGCAGCCAACAAGUUCAUCAAUAUCUCUAUUACGGCCAUCGCUAUCUUCCAUUUCACAAUAUGUGCUUUCUUAUAAUGUUAUCAUGCAGAUGCCAAUUCAUUUCUCUGUCCAUAUAUCUUUGAGAAGGUCGGCAUAGCUGUUUGUUUGAGGCUCAACGUGAUACCAGCCUUUGAUUCAAGCUUUGCUUUUUGUUUUCCCAGGAGCCUUAGCUUUUAGUGUUAUUAAUUUAUCAUGGAUGUUUGUUUUGUGUUCUUCACAUUCCAUGGACUACAAAGAAUAUGUGUUAUUCCAUUUA